rnacentral:piRNA from 2 species
UCCAUGAUGUCCACAUACUCCUGCAC